UACGGGGGGGGCAAGCGUUGUUCGGAAUUACUGGGCGUAAAGGGCUCGUAGGCGGCCAACUAAGUCAGACGUGAAAUCCCUCGGCUUAACCGGGGAACGGCCUCUGAUACUGGAUGGCUUGAGUUCGGGAGAGGGAUGCGGAAUUCCAGGUGUAGCGGUGAAAUGCGUAGAUAUCAGGAGGAACACCGGUGGCGAAGGCGGAUCUCUGGGCCUUACCUGACGCUCAGGCGCGAAAGCUAGGGGAGCGAACAGG
rnacentral:rRNA from 1 species